AAUAUUGGACAAUGGGCGAAAGCCUGGUCCAGCCAUGCCGCGUGUGUGAAGAAGGUCUUCGGAUUGUAAAGCACUUGAAGUUGGGAGGAUGGGUAGUAGGUUAAUACCCUGCAGUUUUGACGUUACCAACAGAAUAAGCACCGGCUUAUUUCGUGCCAGCAGCCGCGGUAAGACGAAGGGUGCAAGCGUUAAUCUGAAUUACUGGGCGUAAAGCGCGCGUAGGUGGUUCGUUAAGUUGGAAGUGAAAGCCCCGGGCUUAACCUGGGAAUUGCUUUCAAAACUGACGAGCUAGAGUACGGUAGAGGGUAGUGGAAUUUCCUGUGUAGCGGUGAAAUGCGUAGAUAUAGGAAGGAACAUCAGUGGCGAAGGCGACUACCUGGACUGAUACUGACACUGAGGUGCGAAAGCGUGGGGAGCAAACAGG
rnacentral:rRNA from 1 species